CUUGAGCAUGUUGACAUUCAACAUGGCGGCAUGUCGUCAGUGCUGUGCUGUGUCGUGCUUGUGUAACUAAGAAACUCAAAAUUUAGAUUAGAAAAUUGAACGUAACCCGAGUUGUAAUUCAGCGCAAACCACUGGCCUUUGAAACAAUUCCUUCAAAUAAUCAACUGCAAAACGAUUCACCAAUUUGUACUACGAAAGAGCAACGGAAGACACAAGGCAACCAAAAACACAAAGUUUAACCAGUUCGUCAACACAUCGUUCGGGCGGCGAGAGAUUUUAAAGAGGAUUCAAGAGGAAAUUGCGCGACAUUGUGAUGAGAGUAUAUGGCACAAUCCAGACCCAGCACGCAUUGAAGACAUCUGAUGAUUUUUAGUUCAACCAUUUCAGUUUCCAUUUCUACGCAACUCGGUGUCGACUGUCGUAGCUGUUUUUACUUCAUUCAAGUCACCACAUCCCCCAACGUUGAUU